AGAGUUUGAUCCUGGCUCAGGAUGAACGCUGGCGGCGUGCUUAACACAUGCAAGUCGAACGAACCUUCGGGUUAGUGGCGGACGGGUGAGUAACGCGUGAGAAUCUGCCCUCAGGAGGGGGAUAACGGUUGGAAACGACCGCUAAUACCCCAUAUGCCUACUGGUGAAACGAAUUUCGCCUGAGGAUGAGCUCGCGUCUGAUUAGCUAGUUGGUGAGGUAAUGGCUCACCAAGGCUUCGAUCAGUAGCUGGUCUGAGAGGAUGAUCAGCCACACUGGGACUGAGACACGGCCCAGACUCCUACGGGAGGCAGCAGUGGGGAAUUUUCCGCAAUGGGCGAAAGCCUGACGGAGCAACGCCGCGUGAGGGACGAAGGCCUCUGGGCUGUAAACCUCUUUUCUCAAGGAAGAAGAUAUGACGGUACUUGAGGAAUAAGCCACGGCUAAUUCCGUGCCAGCAGCCGCGGUAAUACGGGAGUGGCAAGCGUUAUCCGGAAUUAUUGGGCGUAAAGCGUCCGCAGGCGGCUUUUCAAGUCUGCUGUUAAAGCGUGGAGCUUAACUCCAUCAUGGCAGUGGAAACUGAAAGGCUUGAGUAUGGUAGGGGCAGAGGGAAUUCCCGGUGUAGCGGUGAAAUGCGUAGAUAUCGGGAAGAACACCAGUGGCGAAGGCGCUCUGCUGGGCCAUUACUGACGCUCAUGGACGAAAGCCAGGGGAGCGAAAGGGAUUAGAUACCCCUGUAGUCCUGGCCGUAAACGAUGAACACUAGGUGUCGGGGGAAUCGACCCCUUCGGUGUCGUAGCUAACGCGUUAAGUGUUCCGCCUGGGGAGUACGCACGCAAGUGUGAAACUCAAAGGAAUUGACGGGGGCCCGCACAAGCGGUGGAGUAUGUGGUUUAAUUCGAUGCAACGCGAAGAACCUUACCAGGGUUUGACAUCCUGCGAACCUCUUAGAAAUUUGAGGGUGCCUUCGGGAAUGCAGUGACAGGUGGUGCAUGGCUGUCGUCAGCUCGUGUCGUGAGAUGUUGGGUUAAGUCCCGCAACGAGCGCAACCCACGUUUUUAGUUGCCAGCAUUUAGUUGGGCACUCUAGAAAGACCGCCGGUGAUAAACCGGAGGAAGGUGUGGAUGACGUCAAGUCAUCAUGCCCCUUACACCCUGGGCUACACACGUACUACAAUGCUACGGACAAAGGGCAGCAAACUCGCGAGAGCUAGCAAAUCCCAUAAACCGUGGCUCAGUUCAGAUCGUAGGCUGCAACUCGCCUACGUGAAGUAGGAAUCGCUAGUAAUCGCAGGUCAGCAUACUGCGGUGAAUACGUUCCCGGGCCUUGUACACACCGCCCGUCACACCAUGGAAGUUGGCCAUGCCCGAAGUCGUUACUCCAACCCUUGUGGAGGAGGACGCCGAAGGUGGGGCUAAUGACUGGGGUGAAGUCGUAACAAGGUAGCCGUA
rnacentral:rRNA from 1 species